rnacentral:rRNA from 1 species
CCUACGGGCGGCAGCAGUGAGGAAUAUUGGUCAAUGGUCGGGAGACUGAACCAGCCAAGCCGCGUGAGGGAGGAAGGUACAGAGUAUCGUAAACCUCUUUUGUCAGGGACCAAAGGCGGGGACGUGUCCCCGGAUGAGUGUACCUGAAGAAAAAGCAUCGGCUAACUCCGUGCCAGCAGCCGCGGUAAUACGGGGGAUGCGAGCGUUAUCCGGUUUUAUUGGGUUUAAAGGGUGCGCAGGCGGUCUGUUAAGUCAGCGGUAAAAGCCCGGGGCUCAACCCCGGCCCGCCGUUGAAACUGGCAGUCUCGAGUUGGAGAGAAGUAUGCGGAAUGCGCGGUGUAGCGGUGAAAUGCAUAGAUAUCGCGCAGAACUCCGAUUGCGAAGGCAGCAUGCCGGCUCCACACUGACGCUGAGGCACGAAAGCGUGGGUAUCGAACAGGAUUAGAUACCCGUGUAGUC